rnacentral:rRNA from 1 species
GCACUCUGGUGAGACUGCCGGUGACAAACCGGAGGAAGGUGGGGAUGACGUCAAAUCAUCAUGCCCCUUAUGACCUGGGGUACACACGUGCUACAAUGGAUGGUACAACGAGUUGAGAACUCGCGAGAGUAAGAUAAUCUCUUAAAGCCAUUCUCAGUUCGGAUUGUAGGCUGCAACUCGCCUACAUGAAGUCGGAAUCGCUAGUAAUCGCGGAUCAGCAUGCCGCGGUGAAUACGUUCCCGGGCCUUGUACACACCGCCCGUCACACCAUGAGAGUUUGUAACACCCAAAGUCGGUGGGGUAACCUUUAGGAACCAGCCGCCUAAGGUGGGACAGAAGAAUAGGGUGAAGUCGUAACAAGGUAACCA